UACGUAGGUGGCAAGCGUUGUCCGGAAUUAUUGGGCGUAAAGCGCGCGCAGGCGGUCCUUUAAGUCUGAUGUGAAAGCCCACGGCUCAACCGUGGAGGGUCAUUGGAAACUGGAGGACUUGAGUACAGAAGAGGAGAGCGGAAUUCCACGUGUAGCGGUGAAAUGCGUAGAGAUGUGGAGGAACACCAGUGGCGAAGGCGGCUUUCUGGUCUGUAACUGACGCUGAGGCGCGAAAGCGUGGGGAGCAAACAGG
rnacentral:rRNA from 1 species